AUGGCGCCUAUGAAGGUGUACGGCUGGGCGGUGUCGCCAUGGAUGGCGCGGGUCCUCGUCUGCCUGGAGGAGGCCGGCGCCGAGUACGAGCUCGUGUCCAUGAGCCGGAACGGCGGCGACCACCGGCGGCCGGAGCACCUCGCCAGAAACUCCCUCAGUGAGAUCCCGGUGCUGGAGGACGGUGAUCUCACGCUUUACCGCGGCCGAUAUGUUUUUCAGUUUAAGCUCAGCAAAUGGAGUAGUGAUAUGCCCGAGCUUCUAGGAGCGGGCAGCCUCGAGGAGUCGGCGAUGGUGGAUGUCUGGGCUGAUGCGGAUGCCCACCAGCUCGAGCCCAUACUCAAGCCCAUCGUGUUCAACUGCAUCAUCCACCCUUUCAUCGGGAUGGACAUCGACCAGGGCCUCAUCGAUGAGAGCGUUGAGAAGCUGAAGAAGCUGCUAGAGGUGUAUGAGGCGAGGCUGUCAAGCAACAAGUAUUUGGCCGGGGAUUUCGUGAGCUUUGCCGACCUCACUCAUUUCUUCUUCAUGCGCUACUUCAUGGCGACGGAGCACGCGGUCGUUCUUGACGCAUACCCGCAUGCCAAAGCAUGGUGGGACGCAUUGUUGGCAAGGCCGUCGGUCAAGAAGGUGAUAGCUGGCAUGCCUCCGAAUUUUCGAUUCGGGAGGAAACUCAUUGUAAGUGGGUACUUACGAGAAAACUCAUGA
rnacentral:rRNA from 1 species